rnacentral:rRNA from 1 species
UACGAAGGGGGCUAGCGUUGCUCGGAAUCACUGGGCGUAAAGCGCACGUAGGCGGAUUUCUAAGUCAGGGGUGAAAUCCUGGAGCUCAACUCCAGAACUGCCUUUGAUACUGGGAGACUUCGAGUCCGGGAGAGGUGAGUGGAACUGCGAGUGUAGAGGUGAAAUUCGUAGAUAUUCGCAAGAACACCAGUGGCGAAGGCGGCUCACUGGCCCGGUACUGACGCUGAGGUGCGAAAGCGUGGGGAGCAAACAGG